GACGAACGCUGGCGGCGUGCCUAAUACAUGCAAGUAGAACGCUGAAGGAGGAGCUUGCUUCUCUGGAUGAGUUGCGAACGGGUGAGUAACGCGUAGGUAACCUGCCUGGUAGCGGGGGAUAACUAUUGGAAACGAUAGCUAAUACCGCAUAAGAGUAGAUGUCGCAUGACAUUUGCUUGAAAGGUGCAAUUGCAUCACUACUAGAUGGACCUGCGUUGUAUUAGCUAGUUGGUGAGGUAACGGCUCACCAAGGCAACGAUACAUAGCCGACCUGAGAGGGUGAUCGGCCACACUGGGACUGAGACACGGCCCAGACUCCUACGGGAGGCAGCAGUAGGGAAUCUUCGGCAAUGGACGGAAGUCUGACCGAGCAACGCCGCGUGAGUGAAGAAGGUUUUCGGAUCGUAAAGCUCUGUUGUAAGAGAAGAACGAGUGUGAGAGUGGAAAGUUCACACUGUGACGGUAUCUUACCAGAAAGGGACGGCUAACUACGUGCCAGCAGCCGCGGUAAUACGUAGGUCCCGAGCGUUGUCCGGAUUUAUUGGGCGUAAAGCGAGCGCAGGCGGUUAGAUAAGUCUGAAGUUAAAGGCUGUGGCUUAACCAUAGUACGCUUUGGAAACUGUUUAACUUGAGUGCAAGAGGGGAGAGUGGAAUUCCAUGUGUAGCGGUGAAAUGCGUAGAUAUAUGGAGGAACACCGGUGGCGAAAGCGGCUCUCUGGCUUGUAACUGACGCUGAGGCUCGAAAGCGUGGGGAGCAAACAGG
rnacentral:rRNA from 1 species